UACGUAGGAGGCGAGCGUUGUCCGGAGUUACUGGGCGUAAAGGUGCGCAGGCGGCGGUUCGCGUGGCGAGAUGAAUCUCCUGGCUUACCUGGAGGAUGUCGCCAGACGGAUCGCUUGAGGUCGGAGAGGCGUGGAAUUCCGGUGGAGCGUGAAAUGCGUAGAGAUCCGGAGGAACACCGACGGCGUAGGCAGCGCCCUGGACGACACCUGACGCUGAGGCACGAAAGCUGGAGCGAACAG
rnacentral:rRNA from 1 species